UGAGGAAUAUUGGUCAAUGGGCGAGAGCCUGAACCAGCCAAGUAGCGUGAAGGAUGACUGCCCUAUGGGUUGUAAACUUCUUUUAUAAAGGAAUAAAGUCGGGUAUGGAUACCCGUUUGCAUGUACUUUAUGAAUAAGGAUCGGCUAACUCCGUGCCAGCAGCCGCGGUAAUACGGAGGAUCCAAGCGUUAUCCGGAUUUAUUGGGUUUAAAGGGAGCGUAGAUGGAUAUUUAAGUCAGUUGUGAAAGUUUGCGGCUCAACCGUAAAAUUGCAGUUGAUACUGGAUAUCUUGAGUGCAGUUGAGGCAGGCGGAAUUCGUGGUGUAGCGGUGAAAUGCUUAGAUAUCACGAAGAACUCCGAUUGCGAAGGCAGCGUACUGGCGCCUGACUGACGCUGAGGCACGAAAGCGUGGGGAUCGAACAGGAUUAGAUACC
rnacentral:rRNA from 1 species